rnacentral:rRNA from 1 species
AAUGAACGCUGGCGGCAGGCCUAAAACAUGCAAGUCGAACGCCUGUAGCAAUACAGGAGUGGCGCACGGGUGCGUAACACGUGGGAAUAUGCCUAUUGGUACGGAACAGCUCCGGGAAACUGGAAUUAAUACUGUAUGAUUCCUUCGGGGUAAAGAUUUAUCGCCAAUAGAUUAGCCCGCGGUGGAUUAGCUAGUUGGUAGAGUAAUGGCCUACCAAGGCGACGAUACAUAGCUGGUCUGAGAGGACGAUCCGCCACACUGGGACUGAGACACGGACUAGACUUCUACGGGGGGCAGCAGUUAGGAAUAUUGGACAAUGGGCGCAAGCCUGAUCCAGCCAUGCCGCGUGAGUGAUGAAGGCCUUCGGGUUGUAAAACUCUUUAGCCGAUGAAUAUAAUGACUGUAGUCGGAAAAUAAGCCCCGGCUAACUUCGUGCCAGCAGCCGCGGUAA